ensembl:snRNA U6 U6 spliceosomal RNA
GUGUCCCCUUUGGCAGCAUAUGCACUAAAAUUGGUAGGAUACAGAGGAGAUGAGUGCAGCCCCUGAGCAAAGAUGGCACACAAGUCCAUGAAGCAUUCUGUGUUUUC